AGGUUCUAAAUGCUCACUCGCUUUCUAAAUUCUCCAUCGAUAAAGAAUAAAAAGAAAGAGAAGCAUAUAAUAUUAUUUCAAAUGGAUUAUGGGUGCCGCUAAAAUAACAGAACUCAAACACUUUAUUGAUUAGUGCAAGUUGCCCUUUAAUUCUUCACUCCCCAUCUCUUGUUUUCUUCAAAGCCUAGGUGCUCGAGUUCCUCUAGACAAAAAACCGGUAAGUUAUGUGCUGAUAGAAGCAUGCUCUUAUGCAGGAGAAAAGUGAUAUUAGCAUGUCUGACUUUAGGGAAUGCUAUAAUUCCAAAAGACCAAUUGAAGAUGAUGAUGAUGAUAUUGUCGAGUCUGAUAUUAAAUUGGAUAAUACUGAUGUUGUGAAACCUGAUAAUGAUCCUCUA